AGAAUACCUUAAUAUGUACUCCAUCAUGGUUCAAGGCAACUUGUUCUAGUUUAAUAUCUGUAGCAAUCAAGUAAAGAAAGCUUUUAGCAAUUGUUAACAUAAAGAACUGUGAUUUAUGUUGCUUGUUCUGUAGCCAGAGAAGACAUAAAGUACUCCACAACCUUGUAUUGAUUUGUUGAAAAAAAUAGGAAGUAUCGGGCGAAGAAGCCAAGGAUUGCACUUGUUUUUGAGGGGCAAAGGAAAUGCUACUGUUGUUGGCCAUUACCUUCAAUAAUGUCUUUCACAGGUGGGUGAAUUUCUUUAAUCAAAGGUCGUCGUCCUUCCUUGAAACUCUUUCAUCUUUUUGCUUCUGUUCAGUGACCUUUCUUCCGUGGUUAGGGGCAACCUUUUGUUCUUUUAAUCAGCAGUUACAGACAACUAGUGGCAAUGCAGAAACAGUGUUGAGGGGCCAAUGGCAAUGAGAGGAAACAACAUAAGGGCCCAAUGACUUGUAGGUAAUUACAAGCUAGUCUCAUCCUUUCGAUUUCGAAGCAUAAUUUUUGUCAUUUUUAUACUAGCAGCAAUUGCAGGUCGAAGAAAGAGAUAACUUUAUUAAAUGUUACUUAGAAGGGCAAGGCAAUAUAAAAAAAAAUUGAUUGUUUGACUAAAGGACGACAUUAAUUUAUAUAGAAAAAGGUUUACAUGAAUGGACAUGAAAUCGUCCACGUCUCCCUCGGUUUCAACCUCGUACACUCUUGCCGACAAGAUUCGACUAGAAAAGGAGUAGCCCCCGAUUGUAAUUUACUUUUUCUACCAAACAUAUUUAAUUGUAAAUUACUACCUUGGUUCCACCUUCACCUAGUGUUGGGGGGGCCUGAGGGGCCAUUCAGAAAGCAAUCAUGCAAAAUGUGGCUAAAAUGCUUAUAAUCAUUGUGGUAGGUGAAUCCAUAUAAGGUUAUUGUACCAAAACAAGAUGAUAAAUAUUCUUAACUGUUCAAUUGAACGAACACGAUUCAAAUGAAUUCGUGAGAAUCAUAUGUCAUAUAUUAUGUACAUAAAAUCUUGUGCAUAUAAUUGAGUAAUUAAGAUAAUUGGGAUAUCAAUUGAGAUAAUUGGGAUAUCAGUUGUUGAAAAAUCUUAUUAUUACAGCUAUCAAAAAUAAUGAGGUCAGAGAGUUUUAUUUUUAAAAAGAGAAAGUAUAUGGAGACAAUGGUCAUGUAGUUGUUUUCAAAACUUUUAUCUCUGUCAUGUAAAAUAGUAAAAAAUGGAAGUGCUAAUAAAAAAUAGGGCUCUAUUACUAGUUAGUGGAGGUCGUAAAUACAUGAGCAAGUACUCUUGUUUGAUAAAUAGAAGAGGUUUUUUUUAUAAUAGUAUUUGUGACGGGAUGUAAUUUAAAUGGUUUUUGUUAUUUAUACUUUAUUAUUUCUUAGCCUGUUAGGUGUAAUUUUUACUUUUCGUACAAUGAAUUGUUGGGGCUUCAUCUCUUUUUUAAAACAAAGUCGACGCGUGAAAGAUUUUGUGAUAUGCGUUGAUGCACAAGAAAACCAAAAAACCAAAAAAGUUUCCUUAAAUAUUUGUAUAAGAUAACAUUAUUGAGCAUUCCUCCACCAACGAGAGUUCUUGGUUGUUAAUUGAUUGAAUUAAACAUAUGUGUGUUGAAGGUUCGAUUUUAAUUGUAAAUAUAAUUCUCUUGUGGUUUUUUGUAGAAAAAAGAAAGAGUAGUCACUUUUCUUUUAUUUUCUUUAUAUUUAUGAUCGCAAUUUCACGAUUACACCAAUAAUGUUGACUAACCUAAUCGUUGGAUCGAGUCGACUACACCAUCAAUGUUGACCUUUAGGACUGGAGUGGGUUGGGCAGUGCCCCUUCAAGCCUUGAAAAAAGUAGACAGACGUGGCGGAAUAGGAAUGGUGGGAGGAGGAUAACAUUUAGUCGAUCGGCUACAGCCAGUCAAAUAGUGGCAAUCAUAGAAGUGGGGUUGGUGGAAGUUACCACAAAUGGAAACUAAUAUAAAUCGAAAGAUUUUAAGGUAGGAGGAUUACCAUAAGAGGAAGGUUGCGUGACUAGGAAAAGCAUUAUUCCUCUCUCCACUAUAUUUUCACAGCCACGUAUAGAUCCUCCUUUGGGUUUUCUUUUGGUGGUCAUGUGUUCAAUACCCCAAUCCCAACUUGCUUAUAAAAAAAAGUAAAGAAAAAUGCUAUGCGAUCGAGUAUUCUUAGGGCAUUAGAUAAAUCACAUAAAUAUAUUUUACUCUUAUUAUAAGAUAACAUUAGUGAAACAUAACACAAUUUUAGAUGAACAUUUUGAAACAUUUAAUAUUGGAUAACAAAAUGAAAUUUGAACGUCUUUCGAUGACCUAAAAUUAUGGGCCUGUUUGGGCAACAAUUUUAACUAGCAUUUAUACUACUUUGGUUGUUUGCCAAACAACAAUUUGUAGUCACAUAAUCCGAGAGU